rnacentral:rRNA from 1 species
UUUUGACCUCGGAUCAGGUAGGGAUACCCGCUGAACUUAAGCAUAUCAUAAGCCGGAGGA